AUGGCGCUCAGCCUCCGGGCCGCCGCGUCCCUCGCCUCUCCGCCGUCGGGCCCACGCCCCGGCCGACGCGCCGCCUCGGUGGUCCGCGCCACGGCGUCCCCCGCGGCGCUCGGCAACCGGAACCGGCGGCGAGAGCAGAACGUCUCCGGCGAGUUCUUCGUCGAUCACCGGUGCAUCGACUGCGCCACCUGCCGGUGGAUGGCGCCGGAGGUGUUCAAGAGGGUGGACGGCAUGUCCGCCGUGGCGGCGCAGCCCAGCUCUGAGGAGGAGAGGACCAAGGCACUGCAGGCUUUGCUCUCUUGCCCAACAGCCUCGAUCCACACCGACAAGCCCGCGAAGGACAUUCUCCAAGUGCAGAACACGUUCCCGCUCCCCAUCGACGACGAUCUUCCUGGUGUUUACCUUUGCGGUUACCAUUCCGAGUCCUCAUAUGGAGCAACAUCUUAUCUCAUAGUUCACCCAGAAGGAAACAUAAUGGUUGACAGUCCAAGGUAUACGCCGAAACUGGUGGACAAGAUUGAGAAGCUCGGUGGAGCGCGCUACAUGUUUUUGACCCACAUUGAUGAUGUAGCGGAUCAUCGGAAGUGGGCCGAGCGGUUGAAAUGCGAGAGAAUCAUCCAUUCAGGAGAUGUAGUGGACAUUACUGCUGAUGUCGAGUGGAAACUUACUGGAAGUGGUCCCUGGAACAUUGGAAAUGAUUUUGAACUUAUCCAUACCCCAGGCCAUACUGAAGGCUCGGUCUGCUUGUUGUACAAACCACUAAAGGCGCUGUUCACUGGCGACCAUGUCGCAAAAUCAGAAUAUUCAGACGAACUGAAUCUCUUUCGGAUGUACAGCAAGCAAUCAGUGAAUUUGCAACUGGAUAGUAUGAGAAAGUUACUGGACCUAGAUUUUGAGUGGUAUUUACCUGGGCAUGGCUAUCGAAUCCGAUAUGAAGAUGUACAGGCCAAAAAUGCAGCUAUUGAGUCUCUCCUAGCUAACUACAAAAACUAA
rnacentral:rRNA from 1 species